AUUGAACGCUGGCGGCAUGCCUUACACAUGCAAGUCGAACGGCAGCACGGGUGCUUGCACCUGGUGGCGAGUGGCGAACGGGUGAGUAAUACAUCGGAACAUGUCCUGUAGUGGGGGAUAGCCCGGCGAAAGCCGGAUUAAUACCGCAUACGAUCUACGGCUGAAAGCGGGGGACCUUCGGGCCUCGCGCUAUAGGGUUGGCCGAUGGCUGAUUAGCUAGUUGGUGGGGUAAAGGCCUACCAAGGCGACGAUCAGUAGCUGGUCUGAGAGGACGACCAGCCACACUGGGACUGAGACACGGCCCAGACUCCUACGGGAGGCAGCAGUGGGGAAUUUUGGACAAUGGGCGAAAGCCUGAUCCAGCAAUGCCGCGUGUGUGAAGAAGGCCUUCGGGUUGUAAAGCACUUUUGUCCGGAAAGAAAUCCUUGGCCCUAAUACGGUCGGGGGAUGACGGUACCGGAAGAAUAAGCACCGGCUAACUACGU
rnacentral:rRNA from 1 species